AAGCGCUUGUGACCAGACUUGGGCUUGGUUGAUCAUCCGGGGUUCUCCCCGGUGCACUCUUCCGGCUCAGGCCAGCAUCAGUUCGCCCUGGGGGACAAAGGCUUCGGGAAUGUGGCUCUCUCCGGGGAGU
rnacentral:rRNA from 1 species